rnacentral:rRNA from 1 species
GUAGGUGGCAAGCGUUGUCCGGAAUUAUUGGGCGUAAAGCGCGCGCAGGCGGUUCUCUAAGUCUGAUGUGAAAGCCCACGGCUCAACCGUGGAGGGUCAUUGGAAACUGGAGAACUUGAGUACAGAAGAGGAAAGCGGAAUUCCACGUGUAGCGGUGAAAUGCGUAGAGAUGUGGAGGAACACCAGUGGCGAAGGCGGCUUUCUGGUCUGUAACUGACGCUGAGGCGCGAAAGCGUGGGGGAGCAAACAGGAUUAGAUACCCUGGUAGUCCACGCCGUAAACGAUGAGUGCUAAGUGUUAGGGGGUUUCCGCCCCUUAGUGCUGCAGCUAACGCAUUAAGCACUCCGCCCUGGGAGUACGGCCGCAAGGCUG